UUUUUUUUGUUUUUAGGUUUAAAAUUAGUAGUAGUAAUAUCCAUGUUCAUAAUGAAACAACAUUUUUUUGUCAAAGUUAAAUACUUUUCAAGUUAUUGAUAUAGACGAGUGUCCGAAUAAAUGUUGUGCUGACUGUAGCUUCCACGACUAACGGAGUAAUCGUUUGAUUUCUAGUGAAGCUUUGAAACAUAACUUCCACAGAUCCACGCUGCUUCUCUAUAUUAGACCCUAAGCUCUUCAAUGGAAGCUUUAACUACUGCUCUCUUAUAAUUAUACUCGUAUCUCGCUUUUAAAAAGAAGAGUUCAUGUUAAACGCGAAGGCAAUACUUCUCAAGCUGUUCGUUGAAGUUUUGGAGUCAUAACUGGCCACAACUCAGAGAAAGACUUUCAGAUAAUUUUGGACAUUGGAAAAACUGCAAGUUUUUGCAGCGGAAAAUGACUCAAACAUAAUACAAAUCGUAAUCAUCUCAUUUAGAUAUUGGAACACAUCAACUAUAGCAAUAUUGAUCAAAUUCUUGCCCAAUAUGGCAAAAUUCACUUAGUCCCUUGGCAAAGUACAGAUGACAUGAUCAGAAGUACUGACUUAUGGAGAUGCUGGCAAAAACAAUCCUUUUGAAGAAAUCGCUUCAUUUGCCAUUGGAAUUUUGAGCCUAUCGUUGUCAUUGAACGUGUAUUUAGUCAAAUGAAUAUCGUUCAGACCAAGCUUAUGAACAAAAUGACUGUCAAGUCCUUAAACUCAUUAUUAAAUAUAAGAUAUGGAUUGCGCCGUGAUACCAAUACCAAUUACCGGAGAAAUAUUUAAAUUUAAAUAUGCUCCAG
rnacentral:sRNA from 1 species